rnacentral:rRNA from 1 species
GGAUGCUGACGAGCGGCGGACGGGUGAGUAAUGCAUAGGAAUCUGCCCGAUAGUGGGGGAUAACCUGGGGAAACCCAGGCUAAUACCGCAUACGUCCUACGGGAGAAAGGGGGCUCCGGCUCCCGCUAUGGGAUGAGCCUAUGUCGGAUUAGCUAGUUGGUGAGGUAACGGCUCACCAAGGCCACGAUCCGUAGCUGGUCUGAGAGGAUGAUCAGCCACAUCGGGACUGAGACACGGCCCGAACUCCUACGGGAGGCAGCAGUGGGGAAUAUUGGACAAUGGGGGAAACCCUGAUCCAGCCAUGCCGCGUGUGUGAAGAAGGCCCUCGGGUUGUAAAGCACUUUCAGCGAGGAAGAACGCCUAGCGGUUAAUACCCGCUAGGAAAGACAUCACUCGCAGAAGAAGCACCGGCUAACUCCGUGCCAGCAGCCGCGGUAAUACGGAGGGUGCAAGCGUUAAUCGGAAUUACUGGGCGUAAAGCGCGCGUAGGUGGCUUGAUAAGCCGGUUGUGAAAGCCCCGGGCUCAACCUGGGAACGGCAUCCGGAACUGUCAAGCUAGAGUGCAGGAGAGGAAG